rnacentral:rRNA from 1 species
UACGUAGGGUGCAAGCGUUGUCCGGAAUUAUUGGGCGUAAAGAGCUCGUAGGCGGUUCGUCGCGUCGGCUGUGAAAUCCCGAGGCUCAACCUCGGGUCUGCAGUCGAUACGGGCGGACUGGAGUUCGGCAGGGGGAGACUGGAAUUCCUGGUGUAGCGGUGAAAUGCGCAGAUAUCAGGAGGAACACCGGUGGCGAAGGCGGGUCUCUGGGCCGAUACUGACGCUGAGGAGCGAAAGCGUGGGGAGCGAACAGG